rnacentral:rRNA from 1 species
CUAGCUACAGGCUUAACACAUGCAAGUCGAGCGUCAGCAUGGUCUUAGCUUGCUAAGGCCGAUGGCGACCGGCGCACGGGUGAGUAACACGUAUCCAACCUGCCGUCUACUCUUGGACAGCCUUCUGAAAGGAAGAUUAAUACAAGAUGGCAUCAUGAGUCCGCAUGUUCACAUGAUUAAAGGUAUUCCGGUAGACGAUGGGGAUGCGUUCCAUUAGAUAGUAGGCGGGGUAACGGCCCACCUAGUCUUCGAUGGAUAGGGGUUCUGAGAGGAAGGUCCCCCACAUUGGAACUGAGACACGGUCCAAACUCCUACGGGAGGCAGCAGUGAGGAAUAUUGGUCAAUGGGCGAGAGCCUGAACCAGCCAAGUAGCGUGAAGGAUGACUGCCCUAUGGGUUGUAAACUUCUUUUAUAAAGGAAUAAAGUCGGGUAUGGAUACCCGUUUGCAUGUACUUUAUGAAUAAGGAUCGGCUAACUCCGUGCCAGCAGCCGCGGUAAUACGGAGGAUCCGAGCGUUAUCCGGAUUUAUUGGGUUUAAAGGGAGCGUAGAUGGAUGUUUAAGUCAGUUGUGAAAGUUUGCGGCUCAACCGUAAAAUUGCAGUUGAUACUGGAUAUCUUGAGUGCAGUUGAGGCAGGCGGAAUUCGUGGUGUAGCGGUGAAAUGCUUAGAUAUCACGAAGAACUCCGAUUGCGAAGGCAGCCUGCUAAGCUGCAACUGACAUUGAGGCUCGAAAGUGUGGGUAUCAAACAGGAUUAGAUACCCUGGUAGUCCACACGGUAAACGAUGAAUACUCGCUGUUUGCGAUAUACUGCAAGCGGCCAAGCGAAAGCGUUAAGUAUUCCACCUGGGGAGUACGCCGGCAACGGUGAAACUCAAAGGAAUUGACGGGGGCCCGCACAAGCGGAGGAACAUGUGGUUUAAUUCGAUGAUACGCGAGGAACCUUACCCGGGCUUAAAUUGCAGAUGAAUUACGGUGAAAGCCGUAAGCCGCAAGGCAUCUGUGAAGGUGCUGCAUGGUUGUCGUCAGCUCGUGCCGUGAGGUGUCGGCUUAAGUGCCAUAACGAGCGCAACCCUUGUUGUCAGUUACUAACAGGUUCCGCUGAGGACUCUGACAAGACUGCCAUCGUAAGAUGUGAGGAAGGUGGGGAUGACGUCAAAUCAGCACGGCCCUUACGUCCGGGGCUACACACGUGUUACAAUGGGGGGUACAGAGGGCCGCUACCACGCGAGUGGAUGCCAAUCCCCAAAACCUCUCUCAGUUCGGACUGGAGUCUGCAACCCGACUCCACGAAGCUGGAUUCGCUAGUAAUCGCGCAUCAGCCACGGCGCGGUGAAUACGUUCCCGGGCCUUGUACACACCGCCCGUCAAGCCAUGGGAGCCGGGGGUACCUGAAGUGCGUAACCGCGAGGAGCGCCCUAGGGUAAAACU